CGGUCCUAAGGUAGCGAAAUUCCUUGUCGGGUAAGUUCCGACCUGCACGAAUGGCAUAAUGAUGGCAGCGCUGUCUCCAGCAGAGACUCAGUGAAAUCGAAAUCGCAGUGAAGAUGCUGUGUACCCGCGGCUAGACGGAAAGACCCCGUGAACCUUUACUACAGCUUUACAUUGAACUUUGACCUAACUUGUGUAGGAUAGGUGGGAGGCUUUGAAGUAGUGACGCCAGUUACUAUGGAGCCAACCUUGAAAUACCACCCUGGUUAUGUUGGGGUUCUAACUUCGAAUUAACAAAUUCAAGGACAAUGUAUGGUGGGUAGUUUGACUGGGGCGGUCUCCUCCUAAAGAGUAACGGAGGAGUACGAAGGUGCGCUCAGAACGGUCGGAAAUCGUUCAAAGAGUAUAAAGGCAGAAGCGCGCUUAACUGCGAGACCCACAAGUCGAGCAGGUACGAAAGUAGGUCUUAGUGAUCCGGUGGUUCUGUAUGGAAGGGCCAUCGCUCAACGGAUAAAAGGUACUCUGGGGAUAACAGGCUGAUACCGCCCAAGAGUUCAUAUCGACGGCGGUGUUUGGCACCUCGAUGUCGGCUCAUCUCAUCCUGGGGCUGAAGCAGGUCCCAAGGGUAUGGCUGUUCGCCAUUUAAAGAGGUACGCGAGCUGGGUUUAGAACGUCGUGAGACAGUUCGGUCCCUAUCUACCGUGGGCGUUGGAAAUUUGAGAGGAUCUGCUCCUAGUACGAGAGGACCAGAGUGGACGAACCUCUGGUGUUCCGGUUGUCACGCCAGUGGCAUUGCCGGGUAGCUAUGUUCGGAUGGGAUAACCGCUGAAAGCAUCUAAGCGGGAAGCCCACCUCAAGAUAAGAUUUCCCUAAAGAGCCGUUGUAGACUACGACGUUGAUAGGUUGGGUGUGGAAGCAUGGCGACAUGUGUAGCUAACCAAUACUAAUUGCUCGUUUGGCUUGACCAU
rnacentral:rRNA from 1 species